rnacentral:rRNA from 1 species
UACGUAGGGUGCAAGCGUUGUCCGGAAUUAUUGGGCGUAAAGAGCUCGUAGGCGGUUUGUCGCGUCUGCUGUGAAAACCCGAGGCUCAACCUCGGGCCUGCAGUGGGUACGGGCAGACUAGAGUGCGGUAGGGGAGAUUGGAAUUCCUGGUGUAGCGGUGGAAUGCGCAGAUAUCAGGAAGAACACCCGUGGCGAAGGCGGCACUCUGGGACGGUACUGACGCUGAGACGCGAAAGCGUGGGGAGCGAACAGG